CGUCACUUUGCUAAAACAAAAUGAUGUUCUGUAUUGUAGAUUUGGGAAUGGUUUGGGUUUGUUUUGGUUGAAGGUCGAACACGGCGCGAGUCAUUGAGAUUAAUAGAAUUGAGAGUUUAUAGAAACUAUAUAUUAAGGGAACAACAACCUUGAGACAUAAACAACAGGAAGUGCUCCAACCUGGUGUGCUGUACUUUUCAAAACACAAAUCAUCACAGAGGAUCUUGUCUUAGACAAAAGAAUUAAAUGGCGAACACUUUUCACCAAUCUCAAAAAGGCAUGAAUACGAGAUAUGGAGUAUCGUGCGCUAAUGGCGAACUGAAAUACAAACUUAUACACGAAAGUAUUGUACAACUCUGCGUUAUAAACCAUGCUAGUAAUGUGAUCAACAAGAUAAUGAAUCUGAAGUUAUUGAGAAAGAUUGAGACACAUCAUUUGGUUCUCAGUGAAAGCACGAUUUAUUCUAGAACGCCGACAGGAAAUAUGGAAUAUCCUAUUCCUUAUUGCAGCAUUAUGGAAGUUCACCCUUUGACACGCUGGCAGGUUGGACAGAAUUGCUGCUUGCGUAUCAGCAUACCAUCAGGCUCAGUAAUUUUGCAGGUAACAUCUUUCAAAG